UAAUACCCGGGAGGAAGGACAUCACCCACAGAAGAAGCACCGGCUAACUCCGUGCCAGCAGCCGCGGUAAUACGGAGGGUGCGAGCGUUAAUCGGAAUUACUGGGCGUAAAGCGCGCGUAGGUGGCUUGAUAAGCCGGUUGUGAAAGCCCCGGGCUCAACCUGGGAACGGCAUCCGGAACUGUCAGGCUAGAGUGCAGGAGAGGAAGGUAGAAUUCCCGGUGUAGCGGUGAAAUGCGUAGAGAUCGGGAGGAAUACCAGUGGCGAAGGCGGCCUUCUGGACUGACACUGACACUGAGGUGCGAAAGCGUGGGUAGCAAACAGGAUUAGAUACCCUGGUAGUCCACGCCGUAAACGAUGUCGACUAGCCGUUGGGUCCUUCGCGGACUUUGUGGCGCAGUUAACGCGAUAAGUCGACCGCCUGGGGAGUACGGCCGCAAGGUUAAAACUCAAAUGAAUUGACGGGGGCCCGCACAAGCGGUGGAGCAUGUGGUUUAAUUCGAUGCAACGCGAAGAACCUUACCUACCCUUGACAUCCUGCGAACCCUUCGGAGACGAAGGGGUGCCUUCGGGAACGCAGAGACAGGUGCUGCAUGGCUGUCGUCAGCUCGUGUUGUGAAAUGUUGGGUUAAGUCCCGUAACGAGCGCAACCCUUGUCCCUAUUUGCCAGCGAUUCGGUCGGGAACUCUAGGGAGACUGCCGGUGACAAACCGGAGGAAGGUGGGGACGACGUCAAGUCAUCAUGGCCCUUACGGGUAGGGCUACACACGUGCUACAAUGGUCGGUACAAAGGGUUGCGAACUUGCGAAAGUGAGCUAAUCCCAGAAAGCUGAUCUCAGUCCGGAUCGGAGUCUGCAACUCGACUCCGUGAAGUCGGAAUCGCUAGUAAUCGUGAAUCAGAAUGUCACGGUGAAUACGUUCCCGGGCCUUGUACACACCGCCCGUCACACCAUGGGAGUGGACUGCACCAGAAGUGGUUAGCCUAACCUUCGGGAGGGCGAUCACCACGGUGUGGUUCAUGACUGGGGUGAAGUCGUAACAAGGUAGCCGUAGGGGAACCUGCGGCUGGAUCACCUCCUUAAAC
rnacentral:rRNA from 1 species